ACGGUCUGUGGCGUGUGAGUGUGAGAGAGAAAGUGAGUUGUAAUCUCAUAGUUGAAACCAAUACUUUUCUCAGGGCAGGUCUGCCGGUUUUAACUAGCAGAAGUUAGUUUUCUUAGCAGGUUAGGAUAAUUAGGUAAAGGUAAAAUGCUAACAAUGUCCCCGAUGCGACUCGAAUCUAUGUACAACCAUGAGAACAGACUUCAUUUUUCCACUAUGCGAUGCUCCGGGCCAAACGGUCUGUGAGGGAAGACUCAAGAGGAAAUUAGCUUUCUGUUCUACUCGAGCUAUUUUAUUUUGCAUUUUCGUGGAAAAGUCGCCUAAAUACUUUUGAGCAGCUGCUAUAGUUUAGGCAUGGAGGGUCUUCAAGAUGCAAUUAAACACCAAUUGCCUGAGUUGGAGACCGAGAUGGGGAGAUCUUUGUCGGAGCAUCUGAGGGCAAAUUUUGGAGUGGAGAAUAUUAACAACCUUGAAUAUGUUCAGCCGGAGGACAUAAGUACAUUUGAUGCCAAUAUAGUGCCUGGAAUUGCUUCAGUCCUUCAACCAAAGAGAAGAAUGGAUAGGAUCUGUAACAAUGGAUAGUACACUUGUCCUCCAAGCAUCAGUGACCUCUAAUAACAGUGGCCUUUGCUUUUCACCAAGUUAUGACUAUGCGACGACUUCAAUACCCUCACUUCAAUACCCUCACUGGCAUCGUGAUUGACAGUCGCCUGACUCAAGCUCUCCUGAACAAGGGUAAGAGAAUUGUCAACUUUUUAAAAUGCCAAAAGAUCAAGUUGAGAAGAGGGAUCUAGUGCCUGCUGAAUGAAAUCGACGGUUACAUCAAAGGCAAUGACAAUCUAACAGCCACUGAUGUUAGUCUCUCUUCCUCUUGGCAGAUGUAAGGAAUAGCGUUUUUAUACUUAUAAAGUUUAUAUGAUUAAUUGUGUUUAUACUGUACUAUUUUUACACAUGAUUUUAAUAUUUUUUUAAUAUGUUUUGUGAUUUUAGGUCACUGCAACUCGGGUUGACGUCGAGGCGCAAAUUCCUUUGCCAGACACACCAAGGCUGAUCAUGCUUGGAAAUACUCUAUUGGGUUCCUCAAAAUGGAUGGUGUCGAUCGAGGGGAGAGUGGUCUGUGUUAUGGACAGUGAGUCCAAAUUUUGUUGCUGCCCUCUGUGCUCUUCAGCACUUUCUAUGAAUUUAAUAUAGAAUACCAGGAGUCAGUCUCUGCAACCUUGGAGCUGAUACAGAGGAACCAAAUGCACAGCGAAAGCAGGAGUGAGCCGCAAAACCGGAAAGGUCGUUCAGAGGAAGCCAUUGCCAAUUGACCCACAUGUUAAGUGCUUUCUCGCAGACCUGAAGGAGUUUGAGUGGAAAAACUCCAACAUGAAAUCCUGCCAUGCGGUUUGGGUCAGCAAAUGAUCUGCUUGCGCCAUCCUGGAGCCUGUGUUGGCUUGCAGUAGCGUGCUUCUCUGGCUCCAGUCAAGCCCUGCUCACUCCUCUCUAUCAUCCUUCUCUCUCAGCCCCUUUCUCUCUCGAUCUCUCUCUCUCUCACACAGGCAAGCAGUUCUUGUUUUAGUUUUUUGUGAAAACUAAACUGUUUUCCUAUUUUUCAAUGAUCUGUUUAGAUUAUUAUUCUCUUCUUUUCUUUUUACAUAAUCCUAUAUUUUCAAGAAUGACCUAUUCUGAUGUCUUGGUUUGUGUAUGGUGAAGUACAUUAUUGGCCAGUAUUUGUCAAUGUUCUUAUCACUGUAUCUGUCUCUUUCUCUCCCCUACUAUCUGGAGUUGUAAUGUUGCUCUUUUCAAAUGUUGUUUUUGUGGUUAAAGUGCAAUUCAUGUUAUGAAUUUGAAUAAAUAUAUAUAUUUGUA